UAAGGAAUAUUGGUCAAUGGACGCAAGUCUGAACCAGCCAUGCCGCGUGAAGGAUGAAGGUCCUCUGGAUUGUAAACUUCUUUUAUCUGGGACGAAAACGGGAUUUUUAUCUCAAUUGACGGUACCAGAGGAAUAAGCACCGGCUAACUUCGUGCCAGCAGCCGCGGUAAUACGAAGGGUGCAAGCGUUACUCGGAAUUACUGGGCGUAAAGCGUGCGUAGGUGGUUGUUUAAGUCUGAUGUGAAAGCCCUGGGCUCAACCUGGGAAUGGCAUUGGAAACUGGGCAGCUAGAGUGCGGUAGAGGGUAGUGGAAUUCCCGGUGUAGCAGUGAAAUGCGUAGAGAUCGGGAGGAACAUCUGUGGCGAAGGCGACUGCCUGGACCAGCACUGACACUGAGGCACGAAAGCGUGGGGAGCAAACA
rnacentral:rRNA from 1 species